AGGUUUGGCUCACAAUCAGUGCAUAGCUUUUAGCCCUGCUAAAGCUCAAGGUUCAUCAGCCUUCCUAGUUCCUUGAUGUACUCUCUUGAUAAUGUUGACAGUGGAUGGCUUCUCCCA